rnacentral:rRNA from 1 species
UACGGAGGAUGCGAGCGUUAUCCGGAUUUAUUGGGUUUAAAGGGUGCGCAGGCGGGGCUUUAAGUCAGCGGUGAAAUGCCAAUGCUCAACAUUGGAACUGCCGUUGAAACUGGGGGUCUUGAGUGUGGAUGAAGUAGGCGGAAUUCGUUGUGUAGCGGUGACAUGCAUAGAUAUAACGAGGAACUCCGAUUGCGUAGGCAGCUUACUAAGCCAUUACUGACGCUCAAGCACGAAAGCGUGGGGAUCAAACAGG